rnacentral:rRNA from 1 species
UCCUACGGGAGGCAGCAGUGAGGAAUAUUGGUCAAUGGACGAGAGUCUGAACCAGCCAAGUAGCGUGAAGGAUGACUGCCCUAUGGGUUGUAAACUUCUUUUAUAAAGGAAUAAAACGAGGCACGUGUGCCUUUUUGCAUGUACUUUAUGAAUAAGGAUCGGCUAACUCCGUGCCAGCAGCCGCGGUAAUACGGAGGAUGCGAGCGUUAUCCGGAUUUAUUGGGUUUAAAGGGUGCGCAGGCGGAUUUUUAAGUCAGCGGUCAAAUCGUGGGGCUCAACCCCAUCCAGCCGUUGAAACUGGGGAU